GAAUUCUUUUCCCUGUGGUGUUCCAUUAGCUACGGUAUUCUGUUAGUUUACACUUGAUACGAAAUCUUUCAGAUUUGGAACAUAACUUUUGUCGUUUCAUUCUGUGGUCUGACUUCCAGGACAGAGUGGCCUACAACUCACAAUUUCCUGUGGAGAGUUGUGUCCCUCAUCUGUGCUAGGAUCUGCUUUUCAGGGGUUCAAUCCCAGUUGUGUUCCUUGGUGUCUCCAGCUUGUGCCACCUUGGGGCAUUGAUUCCACACUAAACUGGCGGGCUGGGAUUUCACUGAAAUACUAUUCAUCCAGGCGUUAAACAACACUCGAACCUUGUCAUCGAACCCUGUCAAUGUGGCCCUGUCAGCUUUCAGUUGAUGAAAAAAUGAACAAGGUGUUAUUACAGAUUAGAUGCAAUCUGUUGCAAAAUUGGACAAAAAGUCAGAUUUGUUCGAAAAAGUUUUCCUGAAACAAAUAAUAUUGGUGUAGAAUAUGAUGUACUUGUAUUGUGGUCUCAAAUUAUUUUCAGUUAAUGUUGUUUUUUUCCAGCUGUCUAUACUUGUUGACAGUAAUUGAUAUACAUGAUAUGUAAUAUUGAUAACAUGAACAUUUAUAUGUGAAUUCUUCUCUUUAAUGUUCAUGGGCUUCAUAUCUAAUCCCUAAUCUUUUUUUGCAGAAUUUAUUUUUCAGAAACAGUCUUCUUUAGAUCACAUAAAUCCUGUAUGUUUAGCCUUUUCGAAUUUGUGUAGGAUGGUAGGAAAUAGCAUGAUGAAUCACUGAUGAAAGGCAUGUCUAAAUUUAUCGCGCUCACCAACAUGUGAAGGUUACUUGAAAAGAAUCAAGAGUCAAUGGUAAGUAUACAAUUAAACUCCUUUUUUUGUAAUGUUUGGUGGAUUCAAUAUGCAUGUGACUGUGAAACCUUACUGUCAUGCCCAUAAAAGGAAAAACAAAGAACAAACAGAAUGUUAUUUUGAAAGUCUAAGGUGGACAUUUGAUUUGUAAGAAUAAUUGGUCCAUGCAUAAAUGUUUAAAAAAAUGAAAAUGAGAACAGCAAAUGUAUGAGAUUCUGUACAGCGAAACCCUGUUAGAAUUGAUUCCCACUGUCUAGAAACCCAGUAAGCAACUGACAUGUCAAUGGUCCUGUGUAUGAUGCACAGGUAACAGAUCAGGUGAAGUUAAUCAACAUUGGUUGCAGAGAGUAGGUGGAUGGGUGACCGUGUUUGGCAGAUUGACCCCUGAGAGUGUCUCUAAGGGUCUCCUCACACUGAUCAUGUGUGACACAUGUGGUGUCUCCUUAGGCAAGUGACUUUGUUUAAAGGGUGCAUCUGUUCACCCAGCAGUGAAUUGGUACCUAGUCCGAUGAGAUGGUGAUAUGACUGUUGACAUUUUAGUGCCUCCCAGGCAGCUGGAUUGUAUACUCCCCAGGGAGUUGAGAAAGAAAAUUGAGUGCACACUGAUCUGUUGUUGAUGAUGAUGAUUAAUGAUUAAUUAUUAAUUAUUAUCACCUCUGGAUUAACAGGGUUUCACUGUAUAUUUACUUUUGCAAGAUUUUAGAAUCAUGGCCAUAUAUGUACAGACAUUUUCUUCCGAAAUAGUGUCUGAUAAGCAUGCCUGCUGGUCUGUAUAGUGUGCUAAAUUUUUAGCAAAUAAGUAAAAAUGUUUGCAUUAAGUGAAAAUGUUUGCAUUUAUGUUAAUAUUUUAAUGUCUAAAGUGCAGAGACAUUCCAUUCAUGAUGUCAUAAAGUGCUAUGAUGUCACACAUCGAGGCUUCAAUGCAGCACUCAUCUCCUUCUCUUUUCCUGUAAACUAUACGUGACAUCAUAAAAAGGGAAAUAAUGUCCAAUAUGUCACUGUGUUUUUGAUGGUUUGAUUUUUGGUCUGAGGUCCUUGUCUGAAUCCUUCAUUUUGGCGAUAGGUUCAAAUGUGUCAUUAGAGGGCGCCCGAUACAUUACACUUAGAUUUACAACUGAACAAAAAAACAUACCAGCAGUCAUCUUUGUAUCUGAUCUUAGAGUUUGACUUCUCAUCUCUCUGUCAGUCAUCUUAUUGUGAAAUGUAUUUCCUUGCAAGUGUUUCAAGACAUGGAGUGGUCGGUUUUCUGUCUGCAUCGCCUCCCACCCUGCACAAUCCUACUGGAAGAUAAGAUAAUUGAAAGACUUUCACCCUUUGCAUCAUGUGUGAUUUCAUGUUCUGUGGUUUUCUGAAGAAAUCCCCUGUCCAGAUACAUGAAAGAAUGGUUGCUGUCUGCGACAGGAAGAUGGAAUAUGUGACGAUGGUUUGAAGAAGAAAUCGUCAAAUGUUUGUAAAAGUUUGGGGUUUUUUUUAUGGUGAUUUUAGAAGUCAAGUUAUUUAACAAGUGACAAUGGACCUGACUACGAGUGGGGUUUACAGAAAGCCGACGCAGAUUGCAUCCUUGUGACAAGGGAACCAAAGUGGAGAGAGACAGUUUCUUUUGGAGGCUCAAUUUUGCCAUUUCCUAUUAGAUCUUGGCCUGUCAAGACCUUAGUUAAGUUAAGAACAGUCUACAACAGAAUGAGCUGUGUUAUAAACUUGUAACCAUAGUGUAUGAACUUGAACAACAGACAGAUGUGAUAAUACUCUGUUAUACUUGAACAACAGUAGGAUGUGAUAAUAAUCAGUUGUUAUGCUUGAAAAACAGACGGAUGUGAUAAUACUCUGUUAUACUUGAACAACAGUAGGAUGUGAUAAUAAUCAGUUGUUAUACUUGAACAACAGACAGAUGUGAUAAUACUCUGUUGUUAUGCUUGAACAACAG
rnacentral:lncRNA from 1 species